UACGUAGGGGGCUAGCGUUGUCCGGAUUUAUUGGGCGUAAAGAGCGUGUAGGCGGCCAUGUAGGUCCGGUGUGAAAACUCGAGGCUUAACCUAGAUGUCAUCGGAAACCAUUUGGCUAGAGUCCGGAAGAGGAGAGUGGAAUUCCUGGUGUAGCGGUGAAAUGCGCAGAUAUCAGGAAGAACACCAAUGGCGAAGGCGGCUCACUGGCCCGGAACUGACGCUGAGACGCGAAAGCGUGGGGAGCAAGCAGG
rnacentral:rRNA from 1 species